rnacentral:rRNA from 1 species
AAACCAGCACCUCAAGUGGUCAGGAUGAUUAUUGGGCCUAAAGCAUCCGUAGCCUGUUCUGUAAGUUUCCGGUUAAAUCCAUUAGCUCAACUAAUGGGCUGCCGAAAAUACUGCAAAACUAGGGAGUGGGAGAGGUAGACGGUACUCGGUAGGAAGGGGUAAAAUCCUUUGAUCUAUUGAUGACCACCUGUGGCGAAGGCGGUCUACCAGAACACGUUCGACGGUGAGGGAUGAAAGCUGGGGGAGCAAACCGGAUUAGAUACCCGAGUAGUCC